rnacentral:lncRNA from 1 species
AACAAUUCGCAGGUAUGUUUUUUCUUGGUUCCUGGUUAUUGACACCAGCACGUCAAAUCAUAUGACGGGAAAUGCAGAUGUUCUUUUUGAUAUACGUGAUAUGCUUCCUAUGUCUAUUAAUCUUCCAGAUGGGAGGUUUGUUAUUCCUGAUCAUAUGGGUUCAGUUAGGAUGAGUUCUCGUUUGACUCUACAUAACAUGUUCUAUGUUGCUGAUCUGAAAUGUCAUCUCAUCUCUGUUUCACAGCUUACUCGGAAUAGUGCUUGUGUGUUUCAACUCACCGAUAAGCUUUGUGUAAUCUAGAUAAGCAUCACCAGGACGCUGAUUAGAGCGGCUGAGCAGGUGCAAGGUCUGUACUUCUUUUGGGGAAUGGAAACUGCAGCUGUGAUGAAUCACAUGGAUCAGAUCUCUGCUGAAGUAUGGCAUCAACAGCUUGGUCACCCUUCCUCUAAAGCGGUGGAAUUGCUUUCUGGUGUUUUUAGGAGUAGUGAUAGGUGUAAUGAUUCUGGUGUUCUUGCUAAUAAGACGUGUGAGGU